UUAUGUUUUGAAUGAGCACUUAAGGCAAAUUAGCCAUUUUUGACCUUGACCAGAAAAUAUACCCUUUAUGAUAUUGCACAUAGGAUAUUAGCAUACUAUAACUUGGACUAAUUGUCUUUGAUACUACUAAGUAUUGUGAUGCACUUAUGAUAAGAUAUAGGCAUUCCUUGUUCACUACACCCACUAGCCAAAUACCCACCAGGACCACAUUUUUCCAUUGCGCCCUUUUCUUUUAGCAUGUUUAUCAUUUUGUGUGUUUUUUAGCUCCUUACAAGUCUUUAGACAAGAAAAACCAAUAAAUACCUAAUCAUGGACUUUUGAUAGGCUUUGAAAAAAAUUAAAAAUACUAUAAAACUCAAGUGUGCGAGGAAGUAGCCUAAGUAGUUUGAUACAAGAAAAUGUUGAAUAGUGUAUUAAAGAAGUUUGAAAUUAAAAAAAAAAUACUGUGGUCUGUGAAGAGAAAAUAGAAAAAGUUGGAAAUAAAAGGAUGUGAAAAAGAAAAUAAAAGAAAAAAAGUGGCAUGAGCAACUUGAAAAGAAAAAUGUUGAAUUAUGUGAAAAGGAAGUUUGAAAUUGAAGAAAAACAACAAAGCUGAUAAAAGAGAAAAAAUAGAAAAAGUUGUAAAUGAAAGGAGGUGGGAGAGAAAAGAAAAAAGAAAAGUGACCUGAACAAUUUGAUACAAAAUAAAAUGUUGAACAGAGUGAGAUAGGAGUAUAAUUUCUUUAUUUUUGAAAUUGUACUUUCAAGCAUAAUUUACUUAAAUGCAAAAAAUUUGUAAAAUUGGUCCUUUUCAAAAAGAUAUAAAAUUGCAUCAAUUUGGUAAAAGAACUUAUUAUUUAUGUAAUGCAUGGAUUUUAACUAAUUUGAUCAUAUUCGUUUUGCAUAAUAUUGUUCUAUUUAUUGAGCACUAAAUAUAAAUUCCGAAAACAGUUUAUAGACAGAAGGUAUAAAUAUUGAAAUAAAUUGAUAAAAGGCCAGAAGCCCACAUAUCAUAAAAAAGUUUAAUGGCAGUUUCUUCCUCACCCACAUGUUUUCUAGCUGCACCCAUAUGGGUUGUCAAAAGAUCUUUCUACCCUUAAUGAAAUUAAAUAAAACUCUACUUUUUCUAUUUCUCUCUAACAGAUUGUUCUUCUUCCAUGUUGUUGCAGCCACACCCCGCUCGCCCUCGUCUUAUUCAACCCAUUGGCUGCUUAUCUUUUUCAUUUUCUUUUGUAUGUUUGUUUUCCGGAUUUGGUAAUAUAAUUUUUUUAAUUAUAAAUUUCGAAAUAUAUUAAGUUUUUU
rnacentral:lncRNA from 1 species